UCGAGCGAAUCUUUGGGAGCUUGCUCCCAUUGGUUAGCGGCGGACGGGUGAGUAACACGUGGGCAACCUGCCUGUAAGACUGGGAUAACUUCGGGAAACCGGAGCUAAUACCGGAUAAUUCUUUUCCUCUCAUGAGGAAAAGCUGAAAGUCGGUUUACGCUGACACUUACAGAUGGGCCCGCGGCGCAUUAGCUAGUUGGUGAGGUAACGGCUCACCAAGGCGACGAUGCGUAGCCGACCUGAGAGGGUGAUCGGCCACACUGGGACUGAGACACGGCCCAGACUCCUACGGGAGGCAGCAGUAGGGAAUCUUCCACAAUGGACGAAAGUCUGAUGGAGCAACGCCGCGUGAGCGAUGAAGGCCUUCGGGUCGUAAAGCUCUGUUGUUAGGGAAGAACAAGUACCGGAGUAACUGCCGGUACCUUGACGGUACCUAACCAGAAAGCCACGGCUAACUACGUGCCAGCAGCCGCGGUAAUACGUAGGUGGCAAGCGUUGUCCGGAAUUAUUGGGCGUAAAGCGCGCGCAGGCGGUCCUUUAAGUCUGAUGUGAAAGCCCACGGCUCAACCGUGGAGGGUCAUUGGAAACUGGGGGACUUGAGUGCAGAAGAGGAAAGCGGAAUUCCACGUGUAGCGGUGAAAUGCGUAGAGAUGUGGAGGAACACCAGUGGCGAAGGCGGCUUUCUGGUCUGUAACUGACGCUGAGGCGCGAAAGCGUGGGGAGCAAACAGGAUUAGAUACCCUGGUAGUCCACGCCGUAAACGAUGAGUGCUAAGUGUUAGGGGGUUUCCGCCCCUUAGUGCUGCAGCUAACGCAUUAAGCACUCCGCCUGGGGAGUACGGCCGCAAGCUG
rnacentral:rRNA from 1 species